UUGGAGGGCAAGUCUGGUGCCAGCAGCCGCGGUAAUUCCAGCUCCAAUAGCGUAUAUUAAAGUUGUUGCAGUUAAAAAGCUCGUAGUUGAAUUUCGGGAUCAGAUUGUCGGUCGUGCCUCGGUACGCACUGGCAUUAUUGGUUCCUACCUUCUGAAGAACCGCGAUGUCAUUAAUUUGGUGUCGUGGGGAAUCAGGACUGUUACUUUGAAAAAAUUAGAGUGUUUAAAGCAGGCGCACGCUUGAAUACAUUAGCAUGGAAUAAUGAAAUAGGACGUUUGAUUCUAUUUUGUUGGUUUCUAGGAUCGACGUAAUGAUUAAUAGGGAUAGUUGGGGGCAUUAGUAUUCAAUUGUCAGAGGUGAAAUUCUUGGAUUUAUUGAAGACUAACUACUGCGAAAGCAUUUGCCAAGGAUGUUUUCAUUAAUCAAGAACGAAAGUUAGGGGAUCGAAGACGAUCAGAUACCGUCGUAGUCUUAACCAUAAACUAUGCCGACUAGGGAUCGGAUGAUGUUAAUUUUUAAUGACUCAUUCGGCGCCUUACGGGAAAC
rnacentral:rRNA from 1 species